rnacentral:tRNA from 1 species
GCAGAGAUGGCGGAGCGGUCGAACGCGCACGACUCGAAAUCGUGUUUACCCCUAUCAGGGUAACAAGGGUUCAAAUCCCUUUCUCUGCGCCA